UUGUCUUCAAGUAACAACCAUCUACCCUAAUGAAUGGUUUGCAACUACCUAAAAAUCCCUCCUUACAACCAUCUAAACACAUGUAAAAUGACCUAAACCUUGGUGGCAAGGUAGGUUGGGAUUGAUUGCUUAAAGGUUCAAGCCUUCACUCUUAACAACUCAGUCACAUAAUCAUAAAGACGACAAUAUUCUCUCUUCCUCCACCGCCUCAUUGUCCAUCCCAAACCCAUCAUCAUCAUUUGUCAUUCUCUCCUCUUCACUAUCAUCAACAUUUUCCACCUCUUCGCCCUCAACGACAUUAACAUCUUCCUUUUGUUCUUCCUCUUGCUCUUGCUCUUCCUCUUCCACCAUUUCUCCAUCAACAUACCCCUCUUCCUCUUCGUCAUCCAUUAGGAAGUCUUCUACUUCCACAUUUCCCUCCAUCCUACCAAAAUCUUCUUCAUCCACUGCUUCACCUUCUUCAACAACAUAACCAUGUUCUUCAUCCAUUAUAACCCCUUCCUCCAUCUCCUAUACUUGUAUUUCCUCUGCCUCUUUACCAAAUGUAAGAAAAUUAACUUCAAUUGCCAGACUGGGUGGAGAUG
rnacentral:lncRNA from 1 species